rnacentral:rRNA from 1 species
GAUGAACGCUAGCUACAGGCUUAACACAUGCAAGUCGAGGGGAAACGAUGAGAGAGCUUGCUCUCUUAGGCGUCGACCGGCGCACGGGUGAGUAACGCGUAUCCAACCACCCAUUACAGGGGGAUAACCUUGCGAAAGUAAGACUAAUACCCCAUGGCAUUUUAUGGUGGCAUCAUUAUAGGAUUAAAGAUUUAUUGGUAAUGGAUGGGGAUGCGUCUGAUUAGCUUGUUGGCGGGGUAACGGCCCACCAAGGCAACGAUCAGUAGGGGUUCUGAGAGGAAGGUCCCCCACAUUGGAACUGAGACACGGUCCAAACUCCUACGGGAGGCAGCAGUGAGGAAUAUUGGUCAAUGGGCGAGAGCUUGAACCAGCCAAGUAGCGUGCAGGAUGACGGCCCUAUGGGUUGUAAACUGCUUUUAUAGGGGAAUAAAGUGAGCUACGUGUAGUUUAUUGCAUGUACCCUAUGAAUAAGGACCGGCUAAUUCCGUG